rnacentral:rRNA from 1 species
GACGAACGCUGGCGGCGUGCUUAACACAUGCAAGUCGAACGGAAAGGCCCUGCUUUUGUGGGGUGCUCGAGUGGCGAACGGGUGAGUAACACGUGAGUAACCUGCCCUUGACUUUGGGAUAACUUCAGGAAACUGGGGCUAAUACCGGAUAGGAGCUCCUGCUGCAUGGUGGGGGUUGGAAAGUUUCGGCGGUUGGGGAUGGACUCGCGGCUUAUCAGCUUGUUGGUGGGGUAGUGGCUUACCAAGGCUUUGACGGGUAGCCGGCCUGAGAGGGUGACCGGCCACAUUGGGACUGAGAUACGGCCCAGACUCCUACGGGAGGCAGCAGUGGGGAAUAUUGCACAAUGGGCGGAAGCCUGAUGCAGCAACGCCGCGUGCGGGAUGACGGCCUUCGGGUUGUAAACCGCUUUCGCCUGUGACGAAGCGUGAGUGACGGUAAUGGGUAAAGAAGCACCGGCUAACUACGUGCCAGCAGCCGCGGUGAUACGUAGGGUGCGAGCGUUGUCCGGAUUUAUUGGGCGUAAAGGGCUCGUAGGUGGUUGAUCGCGUCGGAAGUGUAAUCUUGGGGCUUAACCCUGAGCGUGCUUUCGAUACGGGUUGACUUGAGGAGGGUAGGGGAGAAUGGAAUUCCUGGUGGGGCGGUGGAAUGCGCAGAUAUCAGGAGGAACACCAGUGGCGAAGGCGGUUCUCUGGGCCUUUCCUGACGCUGAGGAGCGAAAGCGUGGGGAGCGAACAGGCUUAGAUACCCUGGUAGUCCACGCUGUAAACGGUGGGUACUAGGUGUGGGGUCCAUUCCACGGGUUCCGUGCCGUAGCUAACGCUUUAAGUACCCCGCCUGGGGAGUACGGCCGCAAGGCUAAAACUCAAAGGAAUUGACGGGGCCCCCCACAAGCGGCGGAGCAUGCGGAUUAAUUCGAUGCAACGCGUAGAACCUUACCUGGGUUUGACAUGGAUCGGGAGUGCUCAGAGAUGGGUGUGCCUCUUUUGGGGUCGGUUCACAGGUGGUGCAUGGCUGUCGUCAGCUCGUGUCGUGAGAUGUUGGGUUAAGUCCCGCAACGAGCGCAACCCUUGUUCACUGUUGCCAGCACGUUAUGGUGGGGACUCAGUGGAGACCGCCGGGGUCAACUCGGAGGAAGGUGGGGAUGACGUCAAGUCAUCAUGCCCCUUAUGUCCAGGGCUUCACGCAUGCUACAAUGGCUGGUACAGAGAGUGGCGAGCCUGUGAGGGUGAGCGAAUCUCGGAAAGCCGGCCUCAGUUCGGAUUGGGGUCUGCAACUCGACCUCAUGAAGUCGGAGUCGCUAGUAAUCGCAGAUCAGCAACGCUGCGGUGAAUACGUUCCCGGGGCU